rnacentral:lncRNA from 1 species
UGAGAGAGAUGGAGCGGAGAGAUUCAGAGAGAGGCAGAGGGUAUCAUCCGGGAGAAAGAGUAUAGGAGGCCAAUCCUAGGACAAACAACAUCUGGGCAAUCGAUCAUCCUGGACACAGGAGGUGCAGGGGGGCCACGAGGAAGAGAUCAGAGAAGCCUGACUGCAGAAGGAGGUGAAGUGUAAAAAGAGACUCUGGACAGUGACAGGGCCCCUCCCUCUUCCAGAGA